CUAUGGCAGCGCUCUGUCCUUUCAAUGUGUGGAAAUAAAUAGUAGACCAUACCCAUUGAAUGUGCCAGAGAACCCCACCCAUGCCAGCCAUAUAGACAGUACCCAUUGAAUGUGCCAGAGAACACCACCCAUGCCAGCUAUAUAGAUAGUACCCAUUGAAUGUGCCAGAGAACACCACCCAUGCCAGCCAUAUAGACCGUACCUAUUGAAUGUGCC